rnacentral:rRNA from 1 species
CAGCAGCCGCGGUAAUACGUAGGGUGCAAGCGUUAAUCGGAAUUACUGGGCGUAAAGCGCGCGUAGGUGGUUUGUUAAGUUGGAUGUGAAAUCCCCGGGCUCAACCUGGGAACUGCAUCCAAAACUGGCAAGCUAGAGUAUGGUAGAGGGUGGUGGAAUUUCCUGUGUAGCGGUGAAAUGCGUAGAUAUAGGAAGGAACACCAGUGGCGAAGGCGACCACCUGGACUGAUACUGACACUGAGGUGCGAAAGCGUGGGGAGCAAACAGGAUUAGAUACCCCCGUAGUCCCUGUCUCUUAUAC